GCGCGCCCAACAUGCAGUCUAGCGGGCAUAGCAAUAUGUCAGCGGCGGACGGGUGCGUAACACGUGGGAAUGUACCUGGNUGGUUCGGAACAACGCAGGGAAACUUGCGCUAAUACUGGAUAAGCCCGAAAGGGGAAAGAUUUAUCGCCACCAGAUCAGCCCGCGUCCGAUUAGCUAGUUGGUAGGGUAAUGGCCUACCAAGGCGACGAUCGGUAGCUGUUCUGAGAGGAAGAUCAGCCACACUGGGACUGAGACACGGCCCAGACUCCUACGGGAGGCAGCAGUUGGGAAUCUUGGACAAUGGGGGAAACCCUGAUCCAGCCAUGCCGCGUGAGUGAUGAAGGCCUUAGGGUUGUAAAGCUCUUUUACCCGGGAAGAUAAUGACUGUACCGGGAGAAUAAGCUCCGGCUAACUUCGUGCCAGUAGCCGCGGUAAUACGAAGGGGGCUAGCGUUGUUCGGAAUUACUGGGCGUAAAGCGUGCGCAGGCGGUCUCUCAAGUCAGGGGUGAAAGCCCAGAGCUCAACUCUGGAAUUGCCCUUGAAACUGUUAGGCUCGAGUGCGGGAGAGGUGACUGGAAUUCCC
rnacentral:rRNA from 1 species